CGGUUCCGGCGAAGCCGCCCACAGAUGCCCACACUUGAAAUCGAGAGAGCCCACAGAGGUGCCGCUGGGCAACCUUCCGAGGCCUGUCGCCUUCAACGAUCAUCCUUGGGUGGAGGGCGGCUUCGCGGUCUUCGGGUCUUGCCGGUCGAGCUGGCGUAUGCGCAGGUCAGCGUGCUCGUCCACAAGGGUGAAACGGUGGUGUAAGAGACCACCAGUGCCCAGGGUGACUUGGCCAGCUAGGUAAACCCCACCUGGAGCAAGGUCAAGAGGGGCGCCGUGAAAAGCGCUCUGCGCGGACAUUCGAGGGCUGCCCGCCCGAGUCCGCGGGUAGACCGCACGAGGCCGGCGGCAACGUCGGCCCUAGAUGGAUGGCCGUCUCCCCGGUUGCCGCGAGGCGACUGGGUGACAGAAUCCGGCGUACAGCCUGACUCGUCUG
rnacentral:RNase_P_RNA from 1 species